AGUGGCAGACGGGUGAGUAACACGUGGUCAACCUGCCUUUGUGUGGGGGAUAACUAGCCGAAAGGUUAGCUAAUACCGCAUACGAUCGCUCUGGGGCUCCUUAGGGAAUAAGAGAAACACUCCCACAAAGGGAAACUGCGUCCCAUUAGUUAGUUGGUGGGGUUACGGCCUACCAAAACUCCGAUGGGUAGCUGGCUUGAAAGAGCGACCAGCCACACUGGAACUGAAAAACGGUCCAGACUCCUACGGGAGGCAGCAGUGAGGAAUUUUCCGCAAUGGGCGAAAGCCUGACGGAGCGACGCCGCGUGUGGGAAGAAGGCCUUCGGGUCGUAAACCACUGUCGAAGGGGACGAUAUUGACGGUACCCUUGGAGGAAGCCCCGGCUAACUACGUGCCAGCAGCCGCGGUAAGACGUAGGGGGCAAGCGUUGUCCGGAAUUAUUGGGCGUAAAGCGCUCGUAGGUGGAUUGACAAGUCCGCAAGCAAAGACCCGGGCUCAACUCGGGAAUCCGUGUGGA
rnacentral:rRNA from 1 species